GGGAGGUGGGCGGGGUCGCUUCCAGGAGGUGGGCGGCGUCGCUCUCAGGGGUACUGCAGUGGAGCCUGCUGCCAACAUCCUCUGGACACUGUUACUUCUCUCCUCUCCCCCCACACCCCCAGCACCACCACAUCUAAUGGCACAAUCAUCUGCCCUCUUCUCAACACUGACACCAGUACCUGGGCCGUCACUGGAGUGGGGACUGGCUCCACUGCCUCCGCCCCUACUUUCCACACUGCAGCCCACCCUGAAACAGCACCCCUCUCCCUGUGUGGCUGGCAGCCUUUGGGAGGAGGCUCUUGAUGCAGAUGGGGACUGAAAGCUUCCAGGGACCCAGGAGGCCAGACAAGCAGCCCAAGAACAGCACACGAGCCUUAGACAGCCAGGGUUGGCCAAGGCCCAGAGACCCAAGUGAACAUCUGCAGUGUGGCAGGAGUUAGCUCACAGCACGCCUGGACACCAUGCCAUGCCAGCUCACCCCCAGAUCCCCAACCACUGAGUAGCACGUGCAGAGCCACCAUCCACAACGCCCACAUAAGUGCAGAUGUAGGCAGCACGUGUGCACACACACGACACACAUACACAGAACCAUGUGUGCACACAGACUCAGGCACAUGACACACAUGUGACACAAGCACAUGCAUGGGGUGCACCCCACAUAGGGAUCACGUGUGCACACAGGUUCACUGAUGUGGCCCGAUGGGUACAAUGCACACGUGCACACACAGCCGGACAGGACAGCCUGGUGGUUAGAGCUGGCUCAACCUCGCCUUCACUUGCUGGCAAGAGGGCAGGCAUCCUUCUGAGCUUCUGCCUCCGUCUCUGUAAGGCAGGAUGGUUCUGAGGACAACGUCCUAACCCACAGAAAGCCGGGUCUGGCACCCAUAAACCACUCAGCUGUCAUGAACCACACCGUCCAUCUGGUGCAGGCAGAUACCACGGUGUCCAGGGUCUGGCGUCUGCUGAUCUUUCCGUUCUUGGGACUGGGACAAGGGAAAAGCCCAAGCUGCUCAGCCGGCAGGAGAAGGAGCAGGGAG
rnacentral:lncRNA from 1 species